CACUUCCAGUGGUUUGCUCAUUUUGGCUUUGAUGGAGGGCGGAGUUGUAGUGGAGUGAGUUAUCUUCAUUAGUGCUUUUGACAAAAUACAUCUUAAAGCCCAGGAAAGAAAAAAACAAAAACAGAGAGCUUGAAAUCCGACCUGCACAUCUUCAGAGUGCAAGAUUACAUGGUCAAAUUCUACUGCCUCUGACAGUGGAGGUGGCAAGAGGUGAAACUUUUAACUCAACUGUGCAACUCAGACUUAUGUGAGCAAACCCUUUUCUACAAAGAUCAGAAACACUUUCCUGGCACCAACAGAGCAAAUCUCAAGGUAGAAGUGGAGGAAACCAACGAGAGGGGAAGUGAGUGAUUCUGCAUUCACAGACGAUGACUUCUCCUAGAACCAUGUAACCUGAUACUUUCAAAUCCCAGGUGCCUGAUGGAUUUGUCUUUUUCUUGUCUUCAAGAAUGGACGUAUAAAUGUUUUGGAGGAGUGCUAAUGUCAGGCCGAUGAGUCUCUUCAAGUGCUCUUCUUUUUAAGAACAAAGAGCUAGAGUUUCCUCUUGCCUUGCCAAGGCUCAUCUUUCCUGUUGGCAUCGUGUGGAACAAAUGGACAGCAUUUCUCUUCAACUCUCCUUAUGCAGGUGCAAACCACACACACACACAAACACACACACACACACACACACACACACACACACACGCAUGCACAUGUACAUUCUGUUUUAGAACUUUUUGCCCUUUAGACUACUUUUUAAAAAACCCGUCACCCAAGGAUGGACUUGUGAUUUUUUUAAAACCUUACCUGUCUCUUCAGUCUCUCCAUUACACUCUUUUUAGUGAAGCAGGUUCUUCAACUGUCGGCUAAUUGAGGCACCCUCUCUGGGGAAACCUAAGCCACGUGGAGUAGAAUGUCUUAUUCCUAAAGGAGAAGAGGCACCACAGCAAUUUGGAGAAGACUGUUAAUGAUGAGAGAGAGAUCAGUUAACCAACAGAAAGAAGCCAAUUGGGCCCAGGUGUGGUGGCGCACACCUGUAAUCCCAGGGGCUCUGGAGGCUGAAUGGGAGGAUCACAAGCUCAAAGCCAGCCUCAGCAACUUAGUGA